UACAGCAGCUAUAUUUCACUGCAGCUCUCAACUGGCAGCCCACUGAAGCCCAGCAGGUGUGAGCCUGGUUGGUACCUGGAUGGGAGACCUCCCGGGAAAGCUUAGGUUGCUGCUGGAA
rnacentral:rRNA from 1 species